CUCAUCGCAUCCUGGGGCUGUAGUCGGUCCCAAGGGUUGGGCUGUUCGCCCAUUAAAGCGGUACGCGAGCUGGGUUCAGAACGUCGUGAGACAGUUCGGUCCCUAUCCGUCGUGGGCGUAGGAAAUUUGAGAGGAGCUGUCCUUAGUACGAGAGGACCGGGAUGGACAUACCUCUGGUGUACCAGUUGUCGUGCCAACGGCAUAGCUGGGUAGCUAUGUGUGGACGGGAUAAGUGCUGAAAGCAUCUAAGCAUGAAGCCCCCCUCAAGAUGAGAUUUCCCAACUUCGGUUAUAAGAUCCCUCAAAGAUGAUGAGGUUAAUAGGUUCGAGGUGGAAGCAUGGUGACAUGUGGAGCUGACGAAUACUAAUCGAUCGAAGACUUAAUCAA
rnacentral:rRNA from 1 species